CUGGUGGAGGGUGGAUCUAGGACAGAAAACCCUGGUGCAUGAUGUCAUCAUCUACUUCAGGACUAACUUUACAUAUGGUCGGAAUGGUAUCCAGAUCUACAUAGCUGACACCAUCUCCUCCCCAACUGAUGGAGUCAACUGCUACAACGUGACAGGGAACAGAGACGGGACAGACAUACCUGAUGUUUUGAACGUCACGUGUUCUGGUGAAGGGCGCUACCUGGUCCUGUACACAACAACUGUAAACGACGAUCUCAACACACCUAUCCUGGCGUUCUGUGAAGUUGAGGUUAAAGUGUGUGGUCCUGGUACAUUCGGUGCUGACUGUGACAACUACUGCCACUGUGACGGUGAUGUGUGCAACUACGUGACCGGCGACUGCCCCAGUGGAGU